CGAUGGCUAAAACUUUCUGAGAGUUACUCAGGAGGGUGACCUCUACAACAUAUGUCAAGGUCAAGGUCAUUGGAGCUGACUCCCCUAUACCCGAUAAUUACCGGAGUUUAUGCUGGAAAAGCCUCCUCACGAGUGCGUAAUGUAAAAUUUAUUAUAUUGAAAUACGGAGGGAAAACGCGCGACGUUUUAAAAACUUUCAUAUCUUAGGGCGGGAGGUGAGUAUAAAAAUCCCGCCCGCCGAAGGUUCCGACAUCGCUAGUCAUUUAGAAAACGCAUUCCGGGAAAUCUAUUUUUACACCGUUAAUUCCCGUAACGCGGGUGAUUACGUGUAGUUAUCUUUCACUUCGAUGGAUUUAACACGCGGACCGGCUGGUUUGUUGUUUCGUUCGGUGCGGGACUUGACUUAUGAGGAUAUUUGGAGCCUCAUAAGCUCAGUAGCGCAGAGCGCUGGGGAUCACGAUAUUGCGGAACGUUUUCUUACGGUGUACAAUGUCGGAAUACCUUCGGGAAGGGAGGGGGGGAGGAUCGAAUAAAUUAACGCGCAUGGAUAUAGUAAAACGCUUGAUUUUAAAUAUAAAUAAUCGGAAUAACAUGUGUCUCUCUCGCUCCAUCGUCGUGAUUUGCGAUACAGUACGCACUGGUUUAUUUUGAACGCGGUACAGUAUGCAUUGGCGAACUGCACAAAAAAUGGAAUAAUAUAAGGCGCCCAUAUUCUGCGUUACAAAGACAUUUGGCCGAAGAAAUAACGAGGAACGCCGAUAUAGUUAUAUCCGAGGAGGGCUGCGACAUUCCUGAGAUCGAACGUUUUCAACAGCUUCUUUCACUAGGAAAUAUCGCGAUUGUUUAUAAUUUCAACAGUUUCGGUCACGGAGUCCCUCCGUUGUAUGGCGGACAUUCGCCUCUCGUUCUCAUAUAACUAAGUAUACAUUAAAUGUAUUACGAGCGUUCACGACAUUGUAAACCUAUUUUAAAUUUAAAAGCCUCCUCGGCUAAUAUUAUUGCGUUCCCUGUAACAAAGGUUACCGUGCUCGGUAUGUAACGGGUCACCGGUGGUCAAACACAUGCCCGCAAUAUCUCGGCGCGCCGCCGAGAAGCUAGACAAGCGAUCAGCUGCGACGCAUGUAACCGCGUGUUUUUGUGGAAAGAACUGUUUCGAACAUUUAGGUUAGAUUUAGGUUAGAUCAGGUAUAAAUUAUAUACCUAACUUUAUGAUUUAAGUUUUUAUGUUAUAAAUAAGUAUAUUAUUAGAUUUAUAAAAAGUGGAAAUUCUUCUAAUAUUAAGAGGAUUGCAUUUUUAAAUCGAAUGUGUUAAAGUUAUAGGUUAUUCCUCUAGAUAUUAGAGUAUCUUCUUGAGGCCGUAUAUAAGCGAAGAAUCCUUUAGAAUUAAGUGGAUUUUGCUAAAUAAUAGAAUCUUUUUUUUGGGCGCUUAAAAGUGGUGGGGAGAGGUCGAUUCGCUCAACUGUUGCGCGAUAUAGCUACUCCUCCCGAAUUUGUGGGAAAUCGCGAAUUACGAGAGAAGAGCAUUCGUCAGAUUUUCGCCGAAGAAACGACUUUGCACGAUAGCAUUUCUAUUCCUGACAAUUUAGCGCCACAUAAUAGCACCCCUAUUCCAAGAGCGAAAGUGCGAAUGGAUAACGAGUUCAACGAAGCAUCGCUCGAAGAUAAGCGCGGCGAUGAAGGAUACUCUGCGUUUAUAUCCGGCGACAACAAAAACAAAACCCGCGAGAGUGAUCGCGAUUCCAAACUCGCGAGGAAGAAGCGAUUGUUAAAUUGAAAUCUCAUGGAACCUUUGGACAGUAGCGCAUAUAUCCUCGAAGACCCAUCGUCGCGUAAAAAUGUAUCUUUUUCCGAGACGAGGGUAUCGGCCGGUAAAUGUGGAUCCGGUGAGACAACUUUCGAAGAGGAACGGGACAACGAGGUGUUUAUAUCCAGCAGCAACAAAAAGAAUAAAACGCGCGUGAGUGACAGAAAUUCUAAAUUCGCAAGGAAGAAAAGAUUGUUUGAUUGGAACCUUUUGGAGUGACGGGGCUGGAAAAAUUAUACUAUAAUUUAGUGCAUUAUGCGAGAUACUCCGCCGUGAAAAAUCUUUCACACGCCGCCGAACCGGAUUUCAAUCGAAACGAAAUUAUUAGAUGACUCGAAUCACAAGAUGCGUACACACUACACAGACCAAUACGACGCAAAUUUGCCCGCUUACACUACAACGUGACGAAUAUCGACGACGUGUGAGAAGCCGAUUUGAUCGAGCUUCGCAAUCUCAAGAAUUACGAUGAUGACUACUUUUAUUUGCUCACGAUUAUCGAUGUGUUCAGCAAAUACGUCUGAGUGGAGCCGGUACGGGACAAAACAGCCGUUAGCAUGAAGUAUUGAGAAACAUCUGGGACCCUAUUCUUGAAUCUAUAUGCAACUUUACGUAUACGCACGUCGCGAACGGUAAAAAUACGCAUACGUUUCUGUCAUGGUAUUCUUGAACGUUGUCUAGUAUUCGCAGUUGGGAGUAUAUACGCUUUUCGUUGCGUUCAACUACGUUUAGCAACAUCGGAAAACAUACAUAUUUCCUGCAAACAUUGACUAAAAAUACGAUACAAUGGAUUAAUAAAACGGAUUGAUGGAAAAGAUAGAUAGUUUGCAAAAAGAAAAAAGAUGUGCAAACAUAACCAAUGAACAGAGGACGCUAUUAAUAGAGUAUUUAAAAAAGCAUCUACAACUAUUAAAAACAAAGAUUACAGCAUCUUAUACUUUGAAAGAUUCUAUAUGCUUAUGGAAUAAAAUUACAAAUUUUGAAAUGCAGUUAACAGCGUUAAAAAAGAUUGGAAAGGUUGGCGUAAAUGUUGGCAUGAUUUACAAUCGCGGAGCAAAAAGGAGCAAAGCGCGAUAAGACAAUCUAUGGCAGCAACAGAAGAUGGUAAACAAACUGUCGAAAUGUUGACAUCAGAAGAAAAACAUUUUCUUAAUGUCAUGUGUCCAACUAAUAUUUAUAGGCAUCCUGAUAUAGAAGAGUCGACUGUAAAUGCAUUGCAAGAAUUAGAAAACGAUCCACUGGAAAUACUGAGAAUACUUAGAGGAAUAUGAGAAGAAUGUUUUCUCAAAAAUUAUUCCUUCUACAUAUUCUAAUAGUCAACACAAUAAGGCAGUUUCCCGAGAAAGAAUAAUAGUUACAGAAAACAAUAAUAAUGAAUUAUUAAAUAAAAAGGAAAAUAAAUAAACAGAAAUACGCAGUAAUGACGUAGAUACAAAUUAAUUUUCUUGCACAGUAAGUGAAGCCCUUCAGGACAGUGGAACGAUAUUUAAUAUAAAUUUUUGUGAACAGAACAAAACUGGAAUUCAGAAGAAAAAAAAUGACGAAUAAAAAGGUAUUACAAAAUGCACAUUGACACUUGAAGUGUCAACAAAAUUGAAUAAUAUUUUGUAACGAGGCGUUUAAAACCUCGUCACAACGACCUGACCGAACAUCCGUUGGGUCGUAAAACCAGGCGCAAAGCGCCAAAUAAAUCUCCAAACACAACCGCCGAUUGUUCCCUCGAGUGGGGGAAACGGCGUACGUGCAAGAUUCGCGAACCGGGUAUAAAAGCCGAGCGCGAUAACGACAAGGGACCAGUACUCAGGCUGCUCUCACGAGCGCGAUCGCCUUGCUGACUCCCAGUCGGUCUGUUCAUCGGCCAUCCUGAGGCCGCUACAACUGGGAAAGGUGCGCUCAUCAUCUCGGGGUGUAGUGCCUCGCAACCGAUCCGCUCCAGGAAUCUCGGGAUCUAGAGGUGGCGCGCUCACCGCCUCUGUCAAGCGCUCCUGACUCCCAGCCUCCUGGAGACACGACCAUGAGGAAAGGUGCGCUUAUCCUCCCUCGAAGCCUUCCAUUAUCGAGACGUUCCCGCCAACCGAGGGGCGUAGAGGUGGCAAGCUCACCGUUUCUGUCCUGCGCUCUGGACUCCCCGACCGCCGGAUCGUCUCCGAUCGCCUAGUAGCCCGACGCCGCGUCGCUCCCAGGGCGACUGACCUACGCAAUCAUAACCGCGUUGACCCGCCGCGAUACCGUCCGCACCGCGACCGACCGAAUCGCCGCGAGUCCGAAUACAUCCGACUGCGUCGCCGCCGUUCCCGGAUGCCCGCACUAGGAAUAAGUUCUUGUUUAGAUAUAAGCUCGCGUCUAGAUAUAAGUUCGCGUUUAGAAUUAAGUUCGCGUUAGACACCGACUCAGAGUAACAUACCAGAAUAAAUUAUUUUGUUUUAGUUUACACGACACGCGCACUCACACGCACACUCACGAACCGACACCCGCGCCCAGCGUCGAAAGAACCCGUGGACACCGGCAAGCUCAUCCACCGCCGUUCGGUGUCACGAGCGUUCGCUCGAUCUCGUAACGGUUCGACCACUACCACGAGAACCGUGACAAUUUAUAAAAAAACAUUUAAACUAAAAAAAGAAUAUUAUGACGUAAAAUUAAAAUAUAUGAAAAGAUCUGUACAAGCAAAGGAAAGGAUAGCUCAAAGUAUAGAGAAUUGCAAUAUGUCUUAAUAGAAAGUACUACACAGAUAUUGUAUAUUGUUAUUCCUUAUAACACAAUAACUAUAGAAGAAAUAUAAUUAUAAUACAAUUAAAGUAUAUUCUUGAUGUCUAUGUGAUUGCAACAAUUAUGAUUUCUUAAACUUGUGAUUGCUUAAUUGUAAGAUGAGAUUAAUAAGAUGGAGUAAAUUCGAGAAAAAAAACAACGUUUUUUCAUACAAAAUAAAUAUUUACGUAUAAAAAAUAUUCUUCCUGUGUUUAUAGUUUAUUUAAUACAGAGCUCGGCAAGCGAUGCAUUUUUCAGCCGAUUUUAGAGAGGUUCCGCCUGAUGUUUCCCUUGCGUUGUUGCUUUGUGCGCAAAGUACAAGUUGCUCGAUGCUCAUGCAAUUCAUACGCUGUUUGCGGGGCAACAAGGCAAAGGGAAUGUAAGAGAGAGCCUUCUUGGCUGGAAAGUGCAUCACUUGCCGAGCUCUGAUUUAAUAUAUAAAAAUGUGUUAUUUUAUUUUGUUUUUAUUUUUGUAUUGAAAAAAAAUAUUGUACAAAACCAACAAUUAGCGAAUAUCACAGAAAUAUAUCCACUGAAUAAAUAACACGAUACAAUACAUUUAGUUGAUAUGGAUCAAUGCAAAGUAAUCACCAUGUAAUUUGUGUAGACAACAUAAUAUUUCAUUGAUGGCCGCUGACUGCUGAUUUUAUAAAUUUAAUUACUUUUUCUCAUUGUUUUUUUAAUGUCAUAAUUAUUAAAUGUUACAAAUAUGUUAUAUGUAAUAUAAAAAAUCCGACAAUUGGUUUUAUGUUGUACUAUUUUUAUUUCAAAUUAUAAAAAUAAAUGUUUGGUAGCACAAAAGGGUUUAUUU